rnacentral:lncRNA from 1 species
CCCGCUGCUCUCUGGCCCAUCCUAGCCGGACAUCGGGACUGUGCAGCUCUACCAAGCGCUGUCCCCGGAAGAAUCAAGGACUGGGGCCUCAGCCUGCAGCCCCGUGCUUGUCAACCCACCUGGGACCCGCUGACCUCCUUGCUGUGUACGUCUGUGAUGGUGUCGAUCAAGUUGUCGAUGAUGACGACCUGGCCCUGCAGCCAGAUGCCCGAAGCCUGUCGCGUGGCCGCAUGCAACAGCAUCAGGUAGGGCAGCACCACCAGCUGGAGGGCAGAGUGGGCUGCUGGGGUGGUGGCUGGCCUGGUCCUGUGGGGAACCUACCCUCCCACCUCGGUCCUGAUGGAGCUGUGUUGUUUCCUACCCAGACCAUCCAUGUGUAGGGAAAUUCAGAGAGAAAGUGACCACGUAGACCUGUGACUGCAGCCGCAGCCCAUCUCAGAAGUAUGGACAUAGCAGGCUUGGAGUGGACCAAGGAUAAGAAGGAACUGGGGAAUCCCUGAUGCUGACCUCCCCUAAGCCCUCAGGUGGCUCUGAGGCCCAGGAACCAACAAUGAUCUCCAGUGCUAGGGCUGCUGCCUCUCCGCUGUGCAGCUGUGUAACCUCGGAGACAGUUUCCUUAUCUGCAGCUCGACAAACUCUGCCUCAGCUGAGGGCAGAGGAGUGGAGGGCGGUCCUCCUCGUUCUCAUCCUCGUCCACCCUAAGGGACAGAAUACGCCACAGUCUCCCCUCAGCAACUCAGCUAGGCGAGGGACAGCUCUGUUCCUGGACACUUACUGAGCUGUGGGGGAUCAGAACUGAGACCCGGCAGACUUCACCCUGCAGUGAGGCACCCUACAACCACAGG